rnacentral:rRNA from 1 species
AACGAACGCUGGCUGCAUGCCUAACACAUGCAAGUCGAACGAACUCUUCGGAGUUAGUGGCGCACGGGUGCGUAACGCGUGGGAAUCUGCCCUUGGGUACGGAAUAACUCAGAGAAAUUUGUGCUAAUACCGUAUAAUGACUUCGGUCCAAAGAUUUAUCGCCCAAGGAUGAGCCCGCGUAAGAUUAGCUAGUUGGUGGGUAAAAGCCUACCAAGGCGACGAUCUUUAGCUGGUCUGAGAGGAUGAUCAGCCACACUGGGACUGAGACACGGCCCAGACUCCUACGGGAGGCAGCAGUGGGGAAUAUUGGACAAUGGGCGAAAGCCUGAUCCAGCAAUGCCGCGUGAGUGAUGAAGGCCUUAGGGUUGUAAAGCUCUUUUGUCAGGGAAGAAACGGUGAGUUCUAAUAAAGCUUGCUAAUGACGGUACCUGAAGAAUAAGCACCGGCUAACUACGUGCCAGCAGCCGCGGUAAU